UCAAGUGGCGUCCUCCACACACCACAUACUGGUUGUAUCAAUACAACCCGUGCUGGAGGUUAGUUGUAUCAAUACAACCCGUGCUGGAGGUUAGCAGUAUCAAUGCAACCCGUGCUGGAAGUUACUUGUAUCAAUACAACCCGUGCUGAAGGUUAGUUGUACCAAUACAACCCGUGCUGUAGGUUAGUUGUGUCAAUACAAACCGAUAUAGGAUAGUUGUAUCAAUACAUCCCGUGCUGGAGGUUAGUUGUAUCAAUACAGCCCGUGCUGGAGGUUAGAUGUAUCAAUACAACCUGUGCUGGAGGUUAGUUGUAUCAAUACAACCUGUGCUGGAGGUUAGCAGUAUCAAUGCAACCCGUGCUGGAAGUUACUUGUAUCAAUACAACCCGUGCUGAAGGUUAGUUGUAUCAAUACAACCCGUGCUGUAGGUUAGUUGUGUCAAUACAAACCGAUAUAGGAUAGUUGUAUCAAUACAUCCCGUGCUGGAGGUUAGUUGUAUCAAUACAGCCCGUGCUGGAGGUUAGAUGUAUCAAUACAACCCGUGCUGGAGGUUAGAUGUAUUAAUACAACCCGUGCUGGAGGUUAGUUGUAUCAAUACAACACGUACUGGACGUUACAUGUAUUAAUACAACCCGUGCCGAGCUAAGGUGGAACAAUUCAAUCCCGUACUAGAGGUUAGUUGUAACAAUGCAACCCGUGCUGAAGGUUAGCUGUAUCAAUACAACCCGUGCCGGAGGUUAGUUGUAUCAAUUCCACUCUGUGCUAGAAGAUAGUUGUAUCAAUACACCCCGUGGCUGAGGUUUGUUGUAUCAAUAAAACCCGUGCUGGAAGUUACUUGCACCAAUACAACCCGUGCUGGAGGUUAUUUGUAUCAAUACAACUCGUGCUGGAAGUUAGUUGUAUCAAUACAACCCGUGCUGGAGUUUAGCUGUCUCAAUGCAUCCAGUGUAGAUGAGUUUCCAAGUGACUAGCUUGACAUAGAGUACAUUCUAUCCGUGUGAGUGAGGUUAUAGUUUUGAGACUAGAGACUUCGUGUCUUUUAUUUUGUACAUGCUGACAUAUCAAUUUGUAUAUAAUUUUGACAAAUAAAACAACUGAAAACAGA